AAUUCUUGUGCAUCCUAGACAAGAUCAAAUAUGGAAUUAUCCAGAAUAUAAGCAGUACAUUUAAUGAACCUCAAAAGAUACUUUCCUCUGAAGACAAUGGGAAGGAACUGGAAAACCUCUGAAGUUACAGAAAGUUCAGUUUUACAAAGAUGUUUGAAAACCAAAGAUCUUUACCAAACUUUUUUAAAAAGUUAAUGCACAAAGCUGAAGACUCCUGAAACAAAGAUGUUCAGAAAGAACAAACCACCAAAAUUAUAUUAACUUGAAGAUAAGUCAGCUAUUAAAAGCCCAGUUAUUAGCUCAUAUGCAAUCUGAAUUAUUGCUUUUAAAUAAAUGGUUAUACUGAGGAA
ensembl:lincRNA Gm10062 predicted gene 10062